rnacentral:rRNA from 1 species
UGGGGAAUUUUGGACAAGCGGAGCAAGCUCACCAAGAUGCCGCGUGUGUGAAGAAGGCCUUCGGGUUGUAAAGCACUUUUGUCCGGAAAGAAAUCCUUGGCUCUAAUACAGUCGGGGGAUGACGGUACCGGAAGAAUAAGCACCGGCUAACUACGUGUCAGCAGCCGCGGUAAUACGUAGGGUGCAAGCGUUAACCGGAAUUACUGGGCGUAAAGCGUGCGCAGGCGGUUUGCUAAGACCGAUGUGAAAUCCCCGGGCUCAACCUGGGAACUGCAUUGGUGACUGGCAGGCUAGAGUAUGGCAGAGGGGGGUAGAAUUCCACGUGUAGCAGUGAAAUGCGUAGAGAUGUGGAGGAAUACCGAUGGCGAAGGCAGCCCCCUGGGCCAAUACUGACGCUCAUGCACGAAAGCGUGGGGAGCAAACAGGAUUAGAUACCCUGGUAGUCCACGCCCUAAACGAUGUCAACUAGUUGUUGGGGAUUCAUUUCCUUAGUAACGUAGCUAACGCGUGAAGUUGACCGCCUGGGGAGUACGGUCGCAAGAUUAAAACUCAAAGGAAUUGACGGGGUCAUAGCUGUUUCCU